CCCCUCCCUCGCUGUGAAAAUGGCGCUGUCCAGGGUGUGCUGGGCACGGACUGCGCUUUGGGGUUCGGUCGUCACCCCUGGACCCUUUGUCAUUCGGAGACUGCAACUUGGUCGCCCUGGCUUUGCUUGGGGAGCCCCUUGGUCGUCAAAGCUUCACCUUUCUCCAAAGGCAGACGUGAAGAGUUUGAUCUCUUAUGUUGUGACCAAGACAAAAGCGAUUAAUGGGAAAUACCAUCGUUUCUUGAAUCGUCAUUUCCCCCGCUUCUAUAUCCUGUACACAACCUUCAUGAAAGGAUUUCAGAUGUUAUGGGCUGAUGCCAAAAAGGCUAGAAGAAUAAAGAUAAAUAUGUGGAAGCACAAUAUAAAGUUUCAUCAACUUUCAUACCGGGAGAUGGAGCAUUUGAGACAGUUCCGCCGAGACAUCGCCAAGUGUCUUUUCCUAGGUAUCAUUUCCAUUCCACCCUUUGCCAACUACCUGGUCUUCUUGCUAAUGUACCUAUUUCCAAGGCAACUACUGAUUAAACAUUUCUGGACCCCAAAACAACAAACUGAUUUCUUAGAUAUCUAUCAUGGUCUCCGGAAGCAGUCCCACUCAGAAAUCCUUAGUAAUUUAGAGAGGGUCAUUCCUCUCAUUUCUGAUCCAGGACUUCGGUGGCAUUUGACAGACCUGUGCACCAAGAUACAGAAUGGUACCCACCCAGCUGUACAUGAAAUCCUGGCUCUCAGAGAGUGUUUCUGUAACCAUCCUCUGGGCAUGAACCAGCUCCAGACUUUGCAGAUGAAAGCCUUGAGCCGGGCCAUGCUUCUCACACCUCACCUGCCUCCUCCCUUUUUGAGGCAUCGUUUGAAGACUCAUACCACUGUUAUUCACCAGCUGGACAGGGCUUUGGCAAAGCUGGGGAUUGGCCAGCUGACUGCUCAGGAAGUAAAAUCGGCUUGUUAUCUUCGUGGCCUGAAUUCUACCCAUAUUGCAGAAGACAGGUGUCGAACUUGGCUGGGAGAAUGGCUACAAAUUUCCUGCAGCUUGAAAGAAGCUGAGCUGUCCCUCUUGCUGCACAACGUGGUCCUGCUUUCCACCAACUACCUUGGGACAAGGCGCUGAGAGAACUGUGGAGUGGAUGGCAAUGUCCUGCAGUCGCGUAGCAUAGCAGUGUGGGACCAAACAGCACUUGUCAGCAGAGUCUGUGCACUUCUCAGCAAUCCAACUGUAACCAACAGUGGCUGCCUUCUUUGGGCCAUGGGUCAAAACCCAUAAGGUACUAAUUACUGCCCAGCCCUGGGAGACCAGGAAGAUCUGCAUCAAGAUAGUAAGUUGGGUUUAGCUUUUGUGUGUACAUUCUUGACCUAUAGUUCUGUAAUAACUUAUUGUAAAUGCAUGGAGCACUGUUUUAAACCCAAGUAAAGACUGCCUGAAAUCAGUUGAUGGAAAUUACUUAUGCACACUCUAAUCAUUUUGCUAAGGCUCCUUUUCCAAGACUGACAUAACCUAACUAAUGGGGAUUUAAUUGGUUGAUAUAGAUCCUUCUGACAGAAGUUUUAAAGGAAUUGAUUUUAAGUUGAUCGUUGGGUGGAUAUUUUAAGGUGGUAACCAGGAAAAGAGAAAAUGGGAAUACAGUCAGCGUGAAGGUCUAACAAGGCAGAAGCAAAGCCUGCUUCAGUUGAAGAGGUACGUAAGAGCACCUGAGGCAAGAUAGGCUGAAGAGAACAUUCUACAUUUCUAUCACAAAGUGUUUCUUUUGUUAACCUUAAUUCCUAACUGACCUAAUUAGUUUCAUAUGCAAAGCUGGAGAAGCAUCUUUUUCUAACAAGUAACUAAAUUGUGGCUGGCCAAGAUAAAGAAUAACACACCAUUCUUUUGAAUAUUUCUUUAAUAUUACAUUUAAAUAUUCUCUUUAAAUACAGCAUUAUCACAAUGUAAAGAACCUAAAGGGGGAAAAUUGUUUUCAGAGAACCAGACGAGCUUUGGAUUCACAUUGAAAAUACUACUUGUAUACAGUAUGUGAGAAAGGAAACUGGAAAAUAAGAAUUAUGUUAAUAAGAAUCAUUUUUUUUUAAUCAAGGCCAAGACUAAGUGGGAUUGAAGCAAUCUGCUUCUAUGAUCAGAGGCCUAGCUCUCCUAGCAACCAUGAGCUAUAAUUUUGUCCAACUCGGGUAGCACCAGAAGUGAGAUGGACUAGGCUGUAGAAAAGGCCCUUUGCUUGACAACAGUUAAUGCUAAAUGUUAAUAUUUAGCAUUCAGAAGUUUGGGGUCAGCAUGAAUCAGAAUUGUAGAGUUAAUGAAGGGAUGGACUUAGAUUAAGAAACUAGAGUUUUGUAGAAAUAUCAUGUAUCUUACCUUAUGGAUUGGCAAUGAGUUUAAUAAUAACAAAUUUAAAUUCAUUUGAUCCCAAAGGCUAAUGUAUUUCUUAGUGAGCUGUUGGAAUCCACUUCCUAAAUUAAGCGGGAGGCUUCCUACGGAGGGAGUGUAUAGAGCUCUCCCUCUCCUAACAAACUUGAGAAAAUAUUUUUUUCCAUAGAACUAAAAUCCCAAGUAAGUUUCAGUCUUAUGUUGCAUGGUUCCAGUCUAAGGUCGGGGAGUGCAGCUCAGUUUGGAAAAGCAUCUAUUUCAUAUAGAUUGAAGGUACUUAAGAUUCAAUUAUUUUGUGAGGCUGGGUGAUGGGGAGAGAUAUGGACCUAUGUAACUUAAGACCUUCCCUCCAAACAUAAAACCAAGCAAAAACAGGAAUGAACAGGAAAGGCGGAAUGGGUUAAAAUAUUUAUCUGUAUUAAAUAAAUACAAGGCCCUCAGGCUUAGAUUUUAUAAGUGAAAUGCUGCUGCCACAUACCUGAAGGCUGCUUUAACGUACCAGGGCCUGGCUAUCCCCCAAGAAAAGGCUUUAUGAGCAAGAUAAGUAAGAAUAAUUAUCUCCUCCACUCUCCCUGCCCACCAGAAGUGUUUUUUAACUGGUUAAUAAAUCAUACCAGAUGUGAAGUAUGGUGUUAAAGAUGCUAAAGAAUAGUGUUUUGCUCCCUACCAUUUUCAUUUUAAAACAGAGGCAAAGGUCACUUUGCCUAUAAAAUAAAUCAGUGUUGAUCAUGGAGCAGAUCUUGAUUGAAACAUAAACAUAAAAGGAACAGGAACCAUUGACAGAGGUAAGAACUGAAUUUGAGUCCCAUUUUAUACAUUUCAAAGGUUACAAUCAGAUCUUAAUCCUUUGGAACCUGGAAAUUCUACGUGGCAUCUAAGAAUUGGUAGAUUCCAAUUUUAUGUCUCAUCAAGCAGCAAUAAACAUUUGCAAUUCUUGGGGUUGAACUGGAGUAGUAUAAGAACUGUGUAACCCUGUAUAUCAAAGAAGGACCAUGAGUGUGCAUACACAAAAAAAGAACAAAAACUAGUCGGUGACCUUAAAUUGCCACGUCUUACAUUACAUUUAAAGCUCAGAUCUCCCAAAGAGGGGGGAAAAAAACCUGUGUGAAAAAGUAAGCAUGACACAAAUAAAGUCAUCUUUCCAGACAGCAGGUUGUUCCUGCAGCCUCCUUUGGAUAUAGUUAAUGCUCCAUAUAGGCUUCCUAGGGGAUGGGUGAGCCCAGCCAGAAACUGCCCAACAGAGCUCAUGUUAAGACGAUGGCAGAAGC